GCCAUAAUAAACUUCAAGCGUUAAUGUUUAUUUCGAAUGUCAGUACACUGACUGAUAAAAUCAUUACAAUGAAAUUGAUUUCAGACCGCAAUCAUUUUAGAAGGUUUAAAUGCCAAAGCAACCAAAUAUCUGUUUUGUUUAACUUUUCAGCCAACUACAGCCCUGUUCAAAACUAUAGGGAGAAUGUAUAAAGUUGAUUUGCCGGUGGACAACCUUUCCAAUGUGGCAGUGGAACGCCGACUGGCCGCCGAGGCUGCGCUCCAGGCUCGGAUCUUCAAGCAUUGGAGAGAAGAGAACUGGAGGAGAUGGAGGGUCAAUGAGAGAAGGCCUUCGUCAGCGGUACCUGGCCAAGCAGCUGUACACCAGCCGACCCACAGCCCAGAACCACCCGUUUCAGCAGCAGCUCACGCUGGGGGAUCACCAGCACAGACUCACCGCACAAUACGGGAUCUCAGAUUCAGAUGAUAGGCACAACACAACAAUAAAAUCAGGUUUAUGGUAUAGGCACGCGUUACAUGCUUUCAUGUCUUUUAUCGAUAAGAUUUAGUCACUAGGUCAAAUGUUGAAGUGUUCUGCAACUUAUUCUCUCAGGAGCUGUAUUUGAUGUAUAAAAUUACUAUCUAGCUGUUCUUUUAUGUUUCAUGUGUCGUGGUCAGUAUCUAAUUUGGCUUAUCUUUUGAAGAUAAACAUGCAUGUUAUCGUCUUUAGACAUGAAUGCUAUGAGUAAUUUAAAGGAUGACAACCCGAUGAUGCCUCUUUUGGUUCAGAUUGUUCCAAGUUCUUUUUUAUUUAAUCAAUCACAUAUUUAGUUACAAGUAGCUGAUUCAUAAUGCAGAUAGUUACAUUGUCAUUGGGCCCAUAACAUACAGUACAAGACCCCCUCCAUACAGUGAUCCCAACCCACUUCACUUCAGUCUCAACCAAUGGCACGAGCACACUAGCCCAGUCCCAGAUCGGUUUGUACUGUCUUGCCAACUCCUACGACUUUAGCAUGAUAACAACCAUAGGAGUUUGCUAUACAACCCAAACAGAUCUGGGACCAGGGUGUGAAUUCACUACUGUACCUUCCAGUCCCCCAAAUCCAUUUGACUAGUGUUGCACCCCAAACAAAGCACACAGAGGCACUCUGUCUCCCCUCAGGCAGUGAAAUACAUAGUGUACAUAGUGUCUCUCCCCUCCCUCCAUCACGAAUAUAAAUCCAUGAAUGUCAUGUCCUAAAAUAAGCUGUUGCUGUCAUUCUCCUCUAUACGCAAUUCUUAUUCACUUUUUUUAUUUGCUUUUAUGUUGUAAGUAUAAAAAACAGGAAAGGAAAGUAAACAGAGGGGAAAAAACAAACGCUGUCGCUAAGUCUGGCUUAGACGAUCUCCUCACUGACCACGUAAGAAGCAAAGCAGAGCCAGAUAGAUAUAUAGGCAGGCAGGCUGGCAGGCAGUAGAGUGAGUAUCUGUGUGUUCAGUAGUUCACUCUUUCAAAGCAAACAUUUGUCCUGAAAUCACACCAUGAUAAACACAGAUGGUUAGCAGCUCUAUUGGCACCCUCUCCAUAUAGUUCACUUUUGACCAGGGCAUAUGGUUAUUUCUCUGAACACUAAGGGCUCUGGUCAUAAGUAGUGCACUAUAUAGGGAGCCAUUUGUGACGUAAUCCAUAGUUGUGAUAGAAUAACUGGCAUAUUACUUCAUUUUCUCAUUCCCAUAUGAAAAUAGAUUUCUGAAAAGAAAUGUUUUUGUCCUGAGUGUGUCUGUAACAGCAAACUACAGGGAGCUGGGCUCACUCAAACCUCUCGUUCAGACCCACUGUCUUUCUGCCAAGCCAGAGUCAAUCCCACUUUCUCUUUCCCAUCUCCCUGGGGAUGCACUGAACAGUAACGGUUUGGCUUGCAGUCAGACCUGGGUUCAAAUAGUAUUCACCCUUU